rnacentral:rRNA from 1 species
GGAGGGUGCAAGCGUUAUCCGGAUUCACUGGGUUUAAAGGGUGCGUAGGUGGGUUGGUAAGUCAGUGGUGAAAUCUCCGAGCUUAACUUGGAAACUGCCAUUGAUACUAUCAGUCUUGAAUAUUGUGGAGGUCAGCGGAAUAUGUCAUGUAGCGGUGAAAUGCUUAGAGAUGACAUAGAACACCAAUUGCGAAGGCAGCUGGCUACGCAUAUAUUGACACUGAUGCACGAAAGCGUGGGGAUCAAACAGGAUUAGAUACCCUGGUAGUCCACGCCCUAAACUAUGGAUACUCGACAUACGCGAUACACUGUGUGUGUCUGAGCGAAAGCAUUAAGUAUCCCACCUGGGAAGUACGACCGCAAGGUUGAA